rnacentral:rRNA from 1 species
UACGGAGGGGGCUAGCGUUGUUCGGAAUUACUGGGCGUAAAGCGCACGUAGGCGGAUUGGAAAGUCAGAGGUGAAAUCCCAGGGCUCAACCUUGGAACUGCCUUUGAAACUCCCAGUCUUGAGUUCGAGAGAGGUGAGUGGAACUGCGAGUGUAGAGGUGAAAUUCGUAGAUAUUCGCAAGAACACCAGUGGCGAAGGCGGCUCACUGGUCCGGUACUGACGCUGAGGUGCGAAAGCGUGGGGAGCAACAGG